UUUUCAGAUUUAUUUUAUAAAUUUUCUGAAAUUAGUCUCCUAGUUAAACCCUAAUGCCCUAAAUUAUAUAUACCCUUGUACCCUCAAAAAUUUUCUACACGACUCUCAAAGAAAAGGAAAAUUCAUCUCCAUUAAAACUCUUCUGCCGCCAUCUCCAGUUCAUCGAUUCUGAGAAAGGCUACUUAGGGAACACGCAAGGAGACUAUUAAUUCGAAGUACGCACAUGCUCAAGGUUGGUAACGGUACUUGGCUACGAGUGAGGAGACGUUUAGAAUAACCAUUUAGUCAAGAGAAAAGUUUUGUUUCAGUUUAAGUUGGAUUUUGUUAUUUAUGUUAUGGGGAUUUGUUGUAAUAUUUUAUUGGCCACCUUUUAGACCACUUAGUUAAUUUUGACUUUAAUGAUUUUAAAUUGUUAUGUUGGUUUGCAUUUAUUUUCCAUGGAGAAUAAAUGUAGCAGUGACAUUCCCAAGUUUUGGACGAUGGUUUUACGAA